GCCCUCGUGGCUCGCAGCGUCCCAUGGGCAGUCACAAAGGCCAAGGAGCUGCAGGUUAAGGCAACAAUGCAGCCUCAGCUCUCCCCCAUUGUGCCCAGCAGCCGCAGUGCUCACGGAGCCGUCGGGGGUCUUACAUAUCUCAUACGUGCAGCAAAGUGGGGGAACAAUGUGACAAAUUAUGAACAAGCUCUGAGCAGAGGCUGUGGAAUUCUUCCUUUUGUCAGCUUCUGUCACGUGUCAGCUGGGCUGCUGGGCCGGAGGAGGACAAGGGUGGGGGACAUCACAGGAGCAGGAGGCCAGCCCAGGGCUGGGGACAACACUGCUCAUUAUGCUGCAUGCACAUUCUGACUCUAGUUUUUCCUUUUGGAUCUAAGUAUUCUAUCUAAAUGUCAACACUAUUAGUUCCUAAAGAUCCCAGCAAACUUUUUUGCGGUCCCUUCUCUCAAGGGUCAAGUACAAAACAGCUCUGUGAUAUUCGUGAUCAAACCUGGACAUCACACUUCUUGCUCUUCUCUUCCGGGUGCCUUGAUUUCCUCAUCUGUAAAGAAAGCACCUGUUUAAACCAAUGUGCCUUCAAAUCUCUGCACAGAUCAGAAGAUGCAGCCAGUAACUGGACAGAGGCCACUUCAUGGUGGAGCCAGUCUUGCAAUGGGGUGCUCAAGGAAAGAUUAAGAAGUAAAAGAGACAGAUUGGAAUGA
rnacentral:lncRNA from 1 species